CAAAGAAUAGUUUAAUGUUUAGAAUUUUAGCUUUGGGAGCUAGUGGUGGGAGUUAGAGUCUCCCUUCUUUGA
rnacentral:tRNA from 1 species